rnacentral:rRNA from 1 species
GACGAACUGUCCUAACGUUGUUCGGAAUCACUGGGUUUAAAGGGUGCGUAGGCGGCUUUAUAAGUCAGUGCUGAAAUAUCCCGGCUUAACCGGGAGGGUGGCAUUGAUACUGCAGAGCUUGAGUGAAGUCGAGGUAGGCGGAAUUGACGGUGUAGCGGUGAAAUGCUUAGAUAUCGUCAAGAACACCGAUAGUGAAGACAGCUUACUAGACUUCAACUGACGCUGAGGCACGAAAGUGUGGGGAUCAAACAGG